GACGAACGCUGGCGGCGUGCCUAACACAUGCAAGUGGAGCGACGAACCGGGGCUUGCCCCGGGGCAGAGCCGCGAACGGGUGAGUAACACGUGGGUGACCUGCCCCGAUGACUGGGACAACCCGUCGCAAGACGGGCUAAUACCGGACGUGCCCUUUGGUGGAACGGAAGCUUCGGCCUCCGCAUCGGGAUGGGCCCGCGGCGCAUUAGCUUGUUGGUCGGGUAAUGGCUUACCAAGGCGACGAUGCGUAGCUGGUCUGAGAGGACGAUCAGCCACACUGGGACUGAGACACGGCCCAGACUCCUACGGGAGGCAGCAGUGGGGAAUCUUGCACAAUGCGCGAAAGCGUGAUGCAGCAACGCCGCGUGCGGGAAGAAGGCCUUAGGGUUGUAAACCGCUUUCAGUUGGGACGAGGCUUCGAUCGCGAAUAGCGGUUUGGAGUGACGGUACCUACAGAAGAAGCGCCGGCUAACUACGUG
rnacentral:rRNA from 1 species